AGUGAACGCUGGCGGUAGGCCUAACACAUGCAAGUCGAACGGCAGCACAGUAAGAGCUUGCUCUUACGGGUGGCGAGUGGCGGACGAGUGAGGAAUACAUCGGAAUCUACUUUUUCGUGGGGGAUAACGUAGGGAAACUUACGCUAAUACCGCAUACGACCUACGGGUGAAAGCAGGGGAUCUUCGGACCUUGCGCGAUUGAAUGAGCCGAUGUCGGAUUAGCUAGUUGGCGGGGUAAAGGCCCACCAAGGCGACGAUCCGUAGCUGGUCUGAGAGGAGGAUCAGCCACACUGGAACUGAGACACGGUCCAGAGUCCUACGGGAGGCAGCAGUGGGGAAUAUUGGACAAUGGGCGCAAGCCUGAUCCAGCCAUACCGCGUGGGUGAAGAAGGCCUUCGGGUUGUAAAGCCCUUUUGUUGGGAAAGAAAAGCAGCAGGUUAAUACCCCGCUGUUCUGACGGUACCCAAAGAAUAAGCACCGGCUAACUUCGUG
rnacentral:rRNA from 1 species